UAUUAAGUGGCCGACUAAAAGCACUAGACUUUUAAUCUAGAAAAUGAUUUAUUUGAAUCCUUAAUGG
rnacentral:tRNA from 1 species